rnacentral:pre_miRNA from 1 species
AAUUAAUCAUUUCAAUGAUGAUGAUGAUGAUGAUGGAGAGGUUUCCGUCAAACGAUCAUCAUCAUCAUCAUCAUCAUGAUUUAAA